CAGAAGAGGUGUAUCACACAUCUAGCAUCAUUAUCAAUAUAUCAACAUUGCUAAGGGCAAGAAUUAAAGAGAAUUACUCACAGAUUUGCAGGAUUUCUCUGCAGAGGCACAAGCCUCACAAUGCUUCUGAGUAUUUGACCUCAGCACACAUCAAAAAUUGACAUCUUCAAGUCUGAGGGCACAAUGUUCACACAGAAUCUGACUGUUGUGUGUCAUGUGAUUAGGGCUAGAGCAAUAUAACAAGUGAACAGUGAAUGGUGCUAUACAGAAAUGAGCUAGUGGUGCAUGUGACCACACUAAUAAUGCCACUGGCAAGGAACACCAACAAUAAUAUGUGAUAAGCACCCAAGGAACAACUUACUUAAAAUCAGAGUAAUCAAGAAAGCCCAUUUCAAUAUAAAAAAGAGGGGAGGGAGAAUGAUGAUAUAAAAAAUUUAAAAAUUUAAAAAUUUUUUGGAGAUGAAAAAUCACAGCAGAAAGGCAAGGAGCUUUGAUGAUGAUCAAGUUAAAAAAGAAGAGAAAUCUUCAAGAAGAAAGAAAUUCUUUUUACUUCUCUGCACACAACUUCUGACAACCAAAGAAUCCAUCAAUUUCACCUCAUUAGAAAAUCAAUAACAAUGUGUAUACAAGCUAUCUAGAGGAUGCAAUUGAUAUACUGCUAUCAACAAACAGAACUUACAAUACAGAAAUGCAAUUAUCUACUAGCAA
rnacentral:sRNA from 1 species